rnacentral:rRNA from 1 species
GUUACCUACGGGGGGCAGCAGUGGGGGAUAUUGGACAAUGGGGGAAACCCUGAUCCAGCGAUGCCGCGUGAGGGAAGAAGGUUUUCGGAUUGUAAACCUCUGUGGAGGGGGACGAUAAUGACGGUACCCCUUUAGGAAGCCACGGCUAACUACGUGCCAGCAGCCGCGGUAAUACGUAGGUGGCGAGCGUUAUCCGGAUUUAUUGGGUUUAAAGGGUGCGUAGGCGGAAUAUCAAGUCAGCGGUAAAAAUUCGGGGCUCAACCCCGUCGUGCCGUUGAAACUGAUGUUCUUGAGUGGGCGAGAUG